rnacentral:lncRNA from 1 species
ACCCACGCCCACGCCGAGCGGUGAAAGGAGAAAGAGAGACAGAGAGAGAGAUACCCCGCAAAUGGAUAUGCGAGCACGUCGACUUCUGACCAAGGCAGAGGGCUAGGGAGAAUCGCCUGCGCGUAUGGGUGCUCGUCGUGGCGUCGUUGAUGGGGAAGACCCUUGGCGUCACCGCGAUUUCUCACCGGAGUUAUGGGCCCCACCGCGGAUCGCACUUCCCUGUGGGCAGAAAACGUCACGGCAUGACCAUCGGUAAGAAGCCCCACUCUAUUCACCAAAUUCUCUGGAACGAGUAGACGUCGUCGAUUUGGAGCUUUGGGCAAUGGAGCGGGUGAUGGCCAUUGCGCCGGUGAGUAGCGCCGCCGUGGAGACUGUGCUCCGGCGUCCCUGCACCAUCAGAGGAUGAAGGAGAGUCUACGUCCGUUGAUUCUGUAAUAGGUCGACAAGAUUAAGGGGUGUUUGGUUUCUAGGGACUAAUGUUUAGUCCCUGGAUUUUAUUCCAUUUUAGUUCCAAAAUUACCAAAUAUAGAAACUAAAACUUUAUUUUAGUUUCUAUAUUUAGCGAUUUAUACACUAAAAAGGAAUAAAAUGAAGGGACUAAACAUUAGUCCCUGGAAACCAAACACCCCCUUAGAAUGAUGCGUACCGAUUCAGCAGAUUGAAUCUGUGCAGUGGAUCGCAGAACGGACGGGGUGGAUUAGAUCGCCCUUCAUAAAAUCUGGGCCGCUGAUCGAGAUCUGACGGCGAGGAUUGCAUACCGUUUCACAAGAAUUCUGAUCUAAUCUAGGCUGCCGGAUCAAGAUCGAACGGCCGUGGUCAGCCCAUACCCCUUCGGGCGUGGAAUAUUGUUAAAGAACCGCUGUCUUUUCAUUUAUUCAACUCGCCGUCCUGGUGCAGUUAUAAAAGAUUUAAUUUAAGUCCCUAGAAUUUGCAGUUUAGCCCUUGAACUUAUAGAUUUUGAACCAGCAGUCCAUCAGUUUAUGGAAUUAUAUAAAUUAAUCUCGAAAAUGGAUUUUCAACAUAAGAAUUAAUCCUAGUUGUUAGAAAAUUUAUAUCUUGCACAUUUUAACUCCGAUUUGAUCCGUUCAAGUUGCGUUAGCUUCGUAAUAAAAUUGCCUACUCAGUAACAAUACUAUAUGUGUCAUAUCCCAAACUUUUAUAAUUAGAUAUUUAUUUAACCUAUGUUUAGUAGAUUAAUCUUUCUAAUCAAAGUUAAUAUGUAUAUAAUUAUAAUCUGACUAAAAUAUGAUUCCUGUCAAGUUAUAACUUAGGUUAAAGUUGAAAUAGUUAUUUCCAUGGAAUAUAUUGUCUCACAUGAUUUAUAUUAAUCAAAGAAACAUAGUUUUCAUAAUUAAUCACACAGAUUUUUCAAAAACUAUAUCUUUUCAGCCGUGACUCUGAUCUUACUAAAUAUCGAACCCACGAUCUCAUAACGAUGCAUAGAUUAUUAUUAUGCAAUUUAUUCUUAUGUUUAGUGUGAUAUUAAUUUUGUCUAUACCAUGUUUAUUUGUAUUGUUACAACUAGCAGCGAGGUUACGAGUCACCUGAAGAGCAAAUUGGUACCUGGAAUCUCAAGUCCCAAGCAACUUGUGCCCUUGAUCACUUUUAUUUACCCAAUAAUGUUCUUUAUAAUCAUUUUAUCAUGCAUAGGCUUAAUUUUGAUGAGACCCAAUAGGUCACCCUAGUCUGAUUAUCUUUAUACCUUGUUUACCCCUGAACUAUUUGGGUAGUUUUGCUAUUGCUCUAUAUAGUUUUGGGAUUAAUAUUACAUUAUCUUCAUGUUCCAAUUAUACUGUUAUUUUAUUUAUGUUCAUGACAAGAUCAUUAUCUUUAAUUGGAACAUGGAGCUUAACUUGAGAAACACGUGCCACCACAAGGGUGGAAUGGGACCCCCUUGGCUGACUAACUAGGAAAGCUAGUGGAGGACUACCUUACCCGAUAGGGGCAAGGGCAGUAGGGGAGUAGGCGUGUAGGGAGGUUCCCGGGUUGAUUUUGCUUCGAUGCCGGUCAGACGGGGGAUUCCUGCAUUGCUCUUCCUAGAAACUGUAGCGGAUUUUCUGAAGCUAGUGUAACUUUGUAAAGGCCUCGUAGUGGAUCCCUAGCCAUUCACCUCGGAAGUGUCUAAGGGUCUUGCAAACCCUGGCGACAUGGGAUACACGACUUGUGGGUACAGGGUAUAACCUCUGUAGAGUGUAAAACUGGUAUACUAGCCAUGCUCGCGGUCAUGAGCAGCUCAAGACUCUCGCAUGAUUAAAUUAUGGAACUAAAUUCAAUUUGUCAUUUGCAUUGCAUGGGAUUUAUUAUUAAUUUUGUUCUAUUAUUAUUAUGGUUUCGUAUUUACUUACAUUUAGUAACUGCUAAUAAUAAUUUGACCAACUUGUUAAAAGCAAUGCUCAGCUUUUACCCUCUACUAUUGAUCAGCCUUACACAUCACAUGAACUCCCACCUUUGCUGAGUUCAUGCACAUUAUUCCCCACAACUUGUUGAGCGAUGAACAUAUGUGAGCUCACCCUUGCUGUUUCACACCCCCAUAGGUCAAGAACAGGUACCAUAGGAUGAGGAGCAUGGAGGAUGCUGUGAUGUGUUCGUGAGAGGUCUAGGCCGUCGUCUCCCAGUCAACUUUGGGUUGCUGGAUCGUUGCCUCCUUACGAUGUAAUUAUUUAUUUAUUUUGUAUAGAACUCCUAUUAUAUAGUAAAGUUGUAACAUUCGUUUCUGUACCAUGAUUCAUCAUAUGUGUGAGACUUGGUCCCAGCACACACCUGGUGAAUAUCUCACACCUAGGUUUUGGAUCCAGGUGUGACAGAAGUGGUAUCAGAGGAAUGUUGACUGUAAGACGAAACCUAGAUAGAACUGGA